UACGUAGGUGGCAAGCGUUGUCCGGAAUUAUUGGGCGUAAAGCGCGCGCAGGCGGUCCUUUAAGUCUGAUGUGAAAGCCCACGGCUCAACCGUGGAGGGUUAUUGGAAACUGGGGGACUUGAGUGCAGAAGAGGAGAGUGGAAUUCCACGUGUAGCGGUGAAAUGCGUAGAGAUGUGGAGGAACACCAGUGGCGAAGGCGACUCUCUGGUCUGUAACUGACGCUGAGGCGCGAAAGCGUGGGGAGCAAACAGG
rnacentral:rRNA from 1 species